ACUUAGGGUGAGGGACAGAAAAAGAGAAAAAGAGAAACAUAUUGAAAAUUUAGAGCUCUGUGAGUGAAAGAAAGAAAGAAAGAAAGAAAGAAAAAAUAUAUAAAUUUAGUAAAAUUUUGCUCUUUUAUUUCUCUAUUGGGUUUGUUUUUAUGGGCCAACAAUAUUGGCCUAAUUUUAACUAAACUCAGAUUAUUCACUCAGACUAUGUAUAAUUAAAAUAUAUUAUAUUUAUAUAUUUUUUAAUAUAUAUAUAUAUAGUGUAGAACUACUAUGCUAUCGAAAAUAUAGAGGAUUUGAUGUUUUUAAAUUUUUGACCCUUUGAUUAAAAAUUGUAUGGUUGGGAUGAUU
rnacentral:lncRNA from 1 species